CGUAGGGUGCGAGCGUUAAUCGGAAUUACUGGGCGUAAAGUGUGCGCAGGUGGCCGCGCAAGUCGAGUGUGAAAUCCCCGAGCUUAACUUGGGAAUUGCGCUCGUAACUACGUGGCUCGAGUGUGGCAGAGGAAGGUGGAAUUCCACGUGUAGCGGUGAAAUGCGUAGAGAUGUGGAGGAACACCGAUGGCGAAGGCAGCCUUCUGGGCCAACACUGACGCUCAUGCACGAAAGCGUGGGGAGCAAACAGGAUUAGAUACCCUGGUAGUCCACGCCCUAAACGAUGAUGACUAGUUGUUGGGGGAGUUAAAUCCCUUAGUAACGCAGCUAACGCGUGAAGUCAUCCGCCUGGGGAGUACGGUCGCAAGAUUA
rnacentral:rRNA from 1 species